rnacentral:rRNA from 1 species
UACGUAGGUGGCAAGCGUUGUCCGGAUUUAUUGGGUUUAAAGGGUGCGCAGGCGGCCAAGUGUGUGAGGCGUGAAAGCCCGGGGCUUAACCCCGGAAUUGCACCUCAAACUACAUGGCUAGAGCAUUGGAGAGGGUAGCAGAAUUCACGGUGUAGCAGUGAAAUGCGUAGAUAUCGUGAGGAAUACCAGAGGCGAAGGCGGCUACCUGGACAAUUGCUGACGCUCAGGCACGAAAGCGUGGGGAGCAAACAGG